CAGCAGCCGCGGGAAUACGUAGGUGGCAAGCGUUGUCCGGAAUUAUUGGGCGUAAAGGGCUCGCAGGCGGUUUCUUAAGUCUGAUGUGAAAGCCCCCGGCUCAACCGGGGAGGGUCAUUGGAAACUGGGAAACUUGAGUGCAGAAGAGGAGAGUGGAAUUCCACGUGUAGCGGUGAAGUGCGUAGAGAUGUGGAGGAACACCAGUGGCGAAGGCGACUCUCUGGUCUGUAACCGACGCUGAGGAGCGAAAGCGUGGGGAGCGAACAGGAUUAGAUACCCGAGUAGUCCCUGUCUCUUAUAA
rnacentral:rRNA from 1 species